rnacentral:tRNA from 1 species
AGUAUAGUAUUUUAAUAAAAAAGUCUGGUUUGCAUCCGGUUAUUGGGAUUUCCCCUAUACUU